rnacentral:antisense_RNA from 1 species
GUUUAAUUUCAGGUAUCUCACAAAACACGGUGAAAUCUCUCACCAUUUUCCUCUCAUCUGUGGGACCACAGCUGCCUUUUCUCCCUUUCUCCCCAACAGCUCUAAACAGCUGUCCUGGGGACCAGAGGCUCACCUUUCCCUCGCAGAACCAGUAGAAACUGGGCAGAACAGUGAAUCCAUUUACUUCCAGAGGACGCUAGAGACUGUAGGUUUAAAGACAUAAGAGAAUGAUGUGGCAGAUGGCCUUGAUUAUUUGUGUGGGGCAGAUGGUAUGUACGGGGAAACACAGAGCGGGGGCUUAGGCAGGAGCUUCCCUUCGUGGGCAGCAUCUUGCAUCUGCAAGCUCAAUCCUGGGAAUGAGGCCCAAUUCUAUUCUCCUCUUUGUUGCCUUCUCCAGCUGUGAGACAUUCACUGGAAUUUUCAGUAAAUAACUUCUUAGGA